UCCAAAGCACACUUUUCCAAUUUUAAGGUUUCGUCGACCCCUACGGCUGCAGCAAAUACGUAAUCGUGUGUUGUCUCCGUGAUGCAGAUAUGAGUAUUUUGUACGCGUAUCGUUUGGUCGACAAUGUACUCGAAUUUUGAUCCUGAUGGAAGAGGGUCGUCCUUUGAAAGUUGACUGUACGUUGUCAAAGGGUUUCUGCUUCCGGACUCAGUUCCCCAGGCGUAUGAAAUACUGUAGAGACGAAUCCCAAGUUGUUCGUCUUCGACUU